GUUGGCGGCGUGGAUUAGGCAUGCAAGUCGAGCGAGAAGCUACUUCGGUGAGCAGAAAGCGGCGCAAGGGAGAGUAACGCGUAGAUACCUACCCUCCGGUCUGGGAUAGCCACGGGAAACUGUGGGUAAUACCGGAUAAUGUCCCCGGACCAAAGAUUUAUUGCCGGAGGAUGGGUCUGCAUCCUAUUAGCUUGUUGGUGGGGUAAUAGCCUACCAAGGCUUAGAUGGGUAGCGGGCGUGAGAGCGUGGCCCGUCUCACUGGGACUGAGACACUGCCCAGACACCUACGGGUGGCUGCAGUCGAGAAUCUUCCGCAAUGGGCGAAAGCCUGACGGAGCGACGCCGCGUGCGGGAUGAAGGCCUUCGGGUUGUAAACCGCUGUCAGUGGGGAGCAAAUCCAGUUUACUGGUUGAGCUAUCCGCAGAGGAAGCGCAGGCUAAGUUCGUGCCAGCAGCCGCGGUAACACGAACUGCGCGAACGUUAUUCGGAAUCAUUGG
rnacentral:rRNA from 1 species